AACGAACGCUGGCGGCAGGCUUAACACAUGCAAGUCGAGCGCCCCGCAAGGGGAGCGGCAGACGGGUGAGUAACACGUGGGGAUCUGCCCGAUGGUACGGAAUAAUUCCGGGAAACUGGGACUAAUACCGUAUGUGCCCGCAAGGGGAAAGAUUUAUCGCCAUCGGAUGAACCCGCGUCAGAUUAGCUAGUUGGUGUGGUAAAGGCGCACCAAGGCGACGAUCUGUAGCUGGUCUGAGAGGAUGAUCAGCCACACUGGGACUGAGACACGGCCCAGACUCCUACGGGAGGCAGCAGUGGGGAAUAUUGGACAAUGGGCGCAAGCCUGAUCCAGCCAUGCCGCGUGAGUGAUGAAGGCCUUAGGGUUGUAAAGCUCUUUCGCCGACGAAGAUAAUGACGGUAGUCGGAGAAGAAGCCCCGGCUAACUUCGUGCCAGCCGCCGCGGUAAGAC
rnacentral:rRNA from 1 species